GACGAGGUGACCGAGCGGUUAAGGUGAUGGACUGCUAUUCCAUUGUGCAUUGCACGCAAUGGUUCGAAUCCCAUCCUCGUCG
rfam:Daphnia pulex DAPPTscaffold_857_Cont11265, whole genome shotgun sequence.